rnacentral:misc_RNA from 1 species
GAUGAAGAACGCAGCGAAAUGCGAUACGUAAUGUGAAUUGCAAAUUCAGAGAAUCAUCGAGUCUUUGAACGCACAUUGCGCCCCCUGGUAUUCCGGGGGGCAUGCCUGUCCGAGCGUCAUUGCUGCCCUCAAGCACGGCUUGUGUGUUGGGCCCCGUCCUCCGAUUCCGGGGGACGGGCCCGAAAGGCAGCGGCGGCACCGCGUCCGGUCCUCGAGCGUAUGGGGCUUUGUCACCCGCUCUGUAGGCCCGGCCGGCGCUUGCCGAUCAACCCAAAUUUUUAUCCAGGUUGACCUCGGAUCAGGUAGGGAUACCCGCUGAACUUAAGCAUAUCAAUAAGCGGAGGA